GACGAACGCUGGCGGCGUGCUUAACACAUGCAAGUCGAACGAAGUGGCGAACGGGUGAGUAACGCGUAAUCAACCUGCCCUUCAGAGGGGGACAACAGUUGGAAACGACUGCUAAUACCGCAUACUGAAGGAGGGGAUUGCGUCUGAUUAGCUAGUUGGAGGGGUAACGGCCCACCAAGGCGAUGAUCAGUAGCCGGUCUGAGAGGAUGAUCAGUCACACUGAAACGGAGACACGGUCCAGACUCCUACGGGAGGAAGAAGUGGGGAAUAUUGGACAAUGGGCGAAAGCCUGAUCCAGCCAUGCCGUGUGUGUGAAGAAGGUCUUCGGAUUGUAAAGCACUUUAAGAUGGGAGGCGUUACCAACAGAAUAAGCACCGGCUAACUUCGUGCCAGCAGCCGCGGUAAUAC
rnacentral:rRNA from 1 species